UUGAUAAACUGGUGGAUUUAAUGUAUCCUUGGAGGAGGAAUACUUUUUCCCGUGUCAUCCCUUGAGCCCAUGUAUAUCCUUAAAACUAAUAUGAGUCUCCAUUGUAUGUCAACUAUACUCAAAUAAAAUAAAUAAACAAAAACUA